rnacentral:rRNA from 1 species
AGAGUUUGAUCCUGGCUCAGGAUGAACGCUGGCGGCGUGCCUAACACAUGCAAGUCGAGCGAUUUACUUCGGUAAAGAGCGGCGGACGGGUGAGUAACGCGUGGGUAACCUGCCCUGUACACACGGAUAACAUACCGAAAGAUAUGCUAAUACGAGAUAAUAUGCUUUUAUCGCAUGGUAGAAGUAUCAAAGCUUUUGCGGUACAGGAUGGACCCGCGUCUGAUUAGCUAGUUGGUGAGGUAACGGCUCACCAAGGCGACGAUCAGUAGCCGACCUGAGAGGGUGAUCGGCCACAUUGGAACUGAGACACGGCCCAAACUCCUACGGGAGGCAGCAGUGGGGAAUAUUGCACAAUGGGGGAAACCCUGAUGCAGCGACGCCGCGUGAGUGAAGAAGUAUUUCGGUAUGUAAAGCUCUAUCAGCAGGGAAGAAAAUGACGGUACCUGACUAAGAAGCCCCGGCUAACUACGUGCCAGCAGCCGCGGUAAUACGUAGGGGGCAAGCGUUAUCCGGAUUUACUGGGUGUAAAGGGAGCGUAGACGGUUAAGUAAGUCUGAAGUGAAAGCCCGGUGCUCAACGCCGGGACUGCUUUGGAAACUAUUUAACUGGAGUGCAGGAGAGGUAAGUGGAAUUCCUAGUGUAGCGGUGAAAUGCGUAGAUAUUAGGAGGAACACCAGUGGCGAAGGCGGCUUACUGGACUGUAACUGACGUUGAGGCUCGAAAGCGUGGGGAGCAAACAGGAUUAGAUACCCUGGUAGUCCACGCUGUAAGCGAUGAUUACUAGGUGUGGGGGGACUGACCCCUUCCGUGCCGCAGUUAACACAAU